UACGAAGGAGGCUAGCGUUGUUCGGAAUUACUGGGCGUAAAGGGUGCGUAGGCGGCUUUGUAAGUCAGUGGUGAAAUAUGGCAGCUCAACUGUCAAGGUGCCAUUGAUACUGCGGAGCUUGAGUACAGAUGAGGUAGGCGGAAUUGACGGUGUAGCGGUGAAAUGCUUAGAUAUCGUCAAGAACACCGAUAGCGAAGGCAGCUUACUAGGCUGUAACUGACGCUGAGGCACGAAAGUGUGGGGAUCAAACAGG
rnacentral:rRNA from 1 species